CUGGCUUCGGCAGCAGCCGCAAACACGCCCCUUUUGCCCGGCAGGUACCGGGCACGGAACGGGAUUUCAGAAAAAUAGCUGAAGUGAUUUUCCUGCAAGCACAGCAACUUAUAACAUUCUGAAUGCUGAAAAGAAAUGGCCAAGGAUCAUUUGGAUGAACUUGAAUUGAACUGUGAACUGAAGAUCCUAGUUCAGGUGAUGGAACAAUCCAGUACUUUCACAGACUCUUUACAUUAGUUCAGAAACGUCCUGAUGCUACGAUGUCAACAAUGUGGGUGAAUGUGCUUCCUGAAUGAUCUUCUUAAGAAGCAGAUUGGCAGUUCUUUACCUUUCCAGAAUGUGCAGUCUAUGCAUGUCUUUUUAACAGCCUGUUUUCAUCCUUUGCCAUCAAGUACUCAAGAAAAAGAAGAAAAACUAGCCUCGAUCAGGGUG